rnacentral:siRNA from 1 species
GAUCAGAUGUUUACAUGUGUC